rnacentral:rRNA from 1 species
AUGAGCCUGGAGUCCGCCACAUCACCCAUCAGCCAGACACAGCUAACAGUCUUGGCACCGAGCACAAUGGAACUUGCUGGUUUGGCACCUGUAAAUACCAUUGUCCAAAAACAUUUAUCAUUUGGAGCAUCCAAACCAGGGUCUGAAAUAUCAGAGGGUCCCCCAUAUGCAAAUCGAACAAACUCAAGUUUGAAAUGCAGGAUUUCAAAUAAACCAGUGUCUAGGGUAAAAAAAGGAACUUUCCAGGAAAAUUUCCUAGGUUCCAAAUGGUGCAUUAAAAAGAAAAUUUACAUUUCCAUCUUCCUCUGGCACAAAUGUAUGUAUUGCACAGUGCUCCAUCCAAACGAUAUUUCAGGUCAAGAUUAUUCCAUGGACACAAUUACCUCAGACACCACUCACUACCUACAUAGGAUCCACAAAGCCAGACACAGAGCCUUUAAAAAUUAG